CCUAUUGUUAGUUGCUACGCAAGAGCACUCUAGCGAGACUGCCGUUGACAAAACGGAGGAAGGCGGGGACGACGUCAAAUCAUCAUGCCCCUUAUGUCCCGGGCUACACACGUAAUACAAUGGCGGUCAACAGAGGGAAGCAAAGCCGCGAGGCAGAGCAAACCCCUAAAAGCCGUCUCAGUUCGGAUUGCAGGCUGCAACUCGCCUGCAUGAAGUUGGAAUUGCUAGUAAUCGUGGAUCAGCAUGCCACGGUGAAUACGUUCCCGGGCCUUGUACACACCGCCCGUCACACCAUGAGAGUUGGGAACACCCGAAGUCCGUAGUCUAACCGCAAGGAGGGCGCGGCCGAAGGUGGGCCUGAUAAUUGGGGUGAAGUCGUAACAAGGUAGCCGUAUCGGAAGGUGCGGCUGGAUCACCUCCUUUCUAAGGAGA
rnacentral:rRNA from 1 species